rnacentral:rRNA from 1 species
UACGUAGGGUGCAAGCGUUACUCGGAAUUACUGGGCGUAAAGCGCACGUAGGCGGAUCUUUAAGUCAGGGGUGAAAUCCUGGAGCUCAACUCCAGAACUGCCUUUGAUACUGGGGAUCUCGAGUCCGGGAGAGGUGAGUGGAACUCCGAGUGUAGAGGUGAAAUUCGUAGAUAUUCGGAAGAACACCAAUGGCGAAGGCAGCUCGCUGGGACGGUACUGACGCUGAGACGCGAAAGCGUGGGGAGCAAACAGG